CAGGGAGACAACAAAAUGUUUAAUAUUAUUAUUUUGUCACCUUAGGUCGAUCGGUAUCUCACGUUUUUAAUUUAUUAAGAAUUUCAUUUCCUAAGUUUUUCUAGGUCACACCCAUUAUUUUUCCUGGGCCAUUAGCUCAGGUGGUUAGAGCGCACCCCUGAUAAGGGUGAGGUCCCUGGUUCAAGUCCAGGAUGGCCCAUAUCUCUAUGUUGGGGGUAUAGCUCAGUUGGUAGAGCGCCUGCUUUGCAAGCAGGAUGUCAGCGGUUCGAGUCCGCUUACCUCCACUGAUUACCACCUCUUCCAUAAUCUGUAGAAAGGAAAUCUUUUGAGUUGUGAUCAAAUACUGAACGAAUCUAGCUUCCUAAUGAAAUCAUUAAGAUGCUGGACUCAUUGAAUUAAUUUCAUUGUUUUCAGAGAACCUUGACAACUGCAUAGAUUAUUUUUAAAGACAAUAAGCAUCUUUAAUGAUGCAGAUUUAUUAUUUGUGCAAAUGCAUUAAAUAACAAUUCUAUUAAGCUGAUGCUUCAAUUUUGAAGUUAUU
rnacentral:tRNA from 1 species